rnacentral:rRNA from 1 species
GACGAACGCUGGCGGCGUGCCUAACACAUGCAAGUCGAGCCGAUGAAAUUUUCUUCGGAAGAUGGAUUAGCGGCGGACGGGUGAGUAACACGUGAGUAACCUGCCUCAAAGAGGGGGAUAGCCUUCCGAAAGGGAGAUUAAUACCGCAUAAUAUCAGAUGGUCGCAUGGCCGACUGAUUAAAGGAGCAAUCCGCUUUGAGAUGGACUCGCGGCGCAUUAGCUAGUUGGUAAGGUAACGGCUUACCAAGGCGACGAUGCGUAGCCGACCUGAGAGGGUGAUCGGCCACAUUGGGACUGAGACACGGCCCAGACUCCUACGGGAGGCAGCAGUGGGGAAUAUUGCGCAAUAGACGAAAGUCUGACGCAGCAACGCCGCGUGGGUGAUGAAGGUCUUCGGAUUGUAAAGCCCUGUCUUCGAGGACGAUAAUGACGGUACUCGAGGAGGAAGCCACGGCUAACUACGUGCCAGCAGCCGCGGUAAU